UGCGGUGUAGAGCAGUUCGGAGUGCUCGCUUGGCUCAUAACCAAGAGGCCGUCGGUUCAAAUCCGACCACCGCAAC
rnacentral:tRNA from 1 species